UGUGUAACCCAUCCCAGUUAUGACAACUCUCUCUUCAUCGGACACAACAUCUUUGGUUGCCUCUGGAGGACUUGGCAGGUUAAGGUCAAUUUUCUGACUAGCCUCCAUGGCCCUAUUUUCAACUUUUGUUGGGUCAACUUGGACACCAGCAAGAUCGUCAAUAAUGUCAGCCGGCUCAACCGGAGCUUCACGGAUAGCAAUAUCAAUUUCCUCCUCUUCACGCGUUUCAGGAUUGUGCGAUGACCCGCCAGUUCUUGUUUUCUUGGCCUGAGCCCUGAAGGAUAAAGGUUGAGAUGUAUACAAUGGAGUAUAAGUGCUGAGGCAAGCACUAGAUAUACAAAUAAGGACUUACCCUGGGAGACGAACAAGAGGUGGCAAUUUUGAAGCAGUCGAGUAACCCAA
rnacentral:lncRNA from 1 species